CUAACAAGGAUUCCCUUAGUAACUGCGAGUGAAGAGGGAAAAGCUCAAAUUUAAAAUCUGGCAGUGUUUCACUGUCCGAGUUGUAACCUAGAGAAGUGUAACCUGCACUGGACCGUGUAUAAGUCUCCUGGAAUGGAGCAUCACAGAGGGUGAGAAUCCCGUCUUUGACAUGGACCACCAGUGCAUUGUGGUUGUGCUCUCAACGAGUCGAGUUGUUUGGGAAUGCAGCUCUAAAUGGGUGGUAAAUUCCAUCUAAAGCUAAAUAUUGGCGAGAGACCGAUAGCGAACAAGUACCGUGAGGGAAAGAUGAAAAGAACUUUGGAAAGAGAGUUAAACAGUAUGUGAAAUUGUUGAAAGGGAAACGUUUGAAGUCAGUCGCGUUGGUUGGGGAUCAGCCUGACAUUGUUGGGUUUACUUCCUGGUCGACGGGCCAACAUCAGUUUUGACUGCCAGAAAAAGGCCAAAGGAAUGUGGCACCUUUGGGUGUGUUAUAGCCCUUGGUCGUAUAUGGUGGUUGGGACUGAGGAAAGCAGCGUGCCGAAAGGCCGGGUUUCGACCACGUUCACGCUGAGGAUGUUGGCAUAAUGGCUUUAAGCGACCCGUCUUGAAACACGGACCAAGGAGUCUAACAUGCAUGCGAGUGUUUGGGUGGAAAACCCUUACGCGUAAUGAAAGUGAAAGUUGAGAUCCCUGUCGCGGGGAGCAUCGACGCCCGGACCAGAACUUUUGGGACGGAUCUGCGGUAGAGCACGUAUGUUGGGACCCGAAAGAUGGUGAACUAUGCCUGAAUAGGGUGAAGCCAGAGGAAACUCUGGUGGAGGCUCGUAGCGAUUCUGACGUGCAAAUCGAUCGUCAAAUUUGGGUAUAGGGGCGAAAGACUA
rnacentral:rRNA from 1 species